rnacentral:lncRNA from 1 species
GUGGCCUUUUCUCAAGGUCCAGGUGUUGGUAGAUUUCAUCCUCGAGUGCAUCAUUCUAAAUUGGGAGGACUCGAAGGUUGUAGAGAGUUCGAAAAAAGAAGAGAACCCAGGGUCUAGCGAAAGCUCGAGAGGCGAAGAGGUAGACAUGGGAUCUGACCCAGAGGAGCUCUGGACAUUGCGCGUGGACGGUUCAUCAAGUGCGAUGUGAGCAGGGGCUGGACUUAUUCUAAUCAGU